CCCUUGGUAGUCUAGUUGGUUUAUGGCGUUCGACUGUAAUUGUCUUCAUAAUUGUAUAUCGAAAGGUCACUGGUUCGAUUCCAGUCCGAGGGA